GUCGUGCUCUAGCUGGUCGGGGGAGCCUGUAUCAGGGACUUGGCGGGGUGUCACUCAGCCCUGUACCCAGGGCCGGACCUGUGCCUGGCGGGGUAGCAGAGGCCUAAUAUCAGUGAAGAAGAUGUGAAUAUGGGGGCCAAGAGUGGUAUUCCACUAGCCAACAGCAGAAUCUGGACUUGCAUGUGGAUCACUGUGUACAGAUGAGGGACAAAUGGAAUGAAAUGUAUCUUCCAGUGUUACAGAGAAACAGGAGCAUGGAGAGGCUGAGUGAUCCGUCCAGGGCUACACGAGAAGAGUUCCUCAGAGCUGCCCUGGAAUCCACGUCUUCUUAUUGGAGAUCUGAUGCGUCUGUUAUUUCACCGUGCUCUCCCCGUACCUAACAGACCAUCGGCAGUCAACUCAACAGAAGGACCAUUCUCUUUCCGGAAAGAUUGGAUGUAAGUCUGAAAAGAGCUUCCCCACAGUCAAAUAUUGGUGUCGUUUGAAUGAUUUCCCUUGGAAGAUAAUCUUCAAUGACUGACAGCUUCUACAGAAUGGGGCUUCAAUAAGCUAGAGAAAUCCGUGUCUUGCUGUAGUCAAUUUAUAGUCUUUCCUGCUUUCCACCAAAUUUCUUUUCCUGGUAAUAUUUCUGGCAUUUUAUUUUUAGAACAUGGGUGAUGAGUGAGAAUUUUUGAAAAACUGAAGUAUAGCAUGUAUCAGUAGAAUCAUGUACUUUUUUAAAAAAGGAUUUGUUUAUUGAUUUGAAAGACAAGGUUACAGAGAGACGGGAGAGAGAGAGAGGGAGAGAGAGAGAGAGAGAUCUUCCAUUUACUGGUUCACUCCCUGAAUGGUUGCAAUGAUUGGGGCUGGGCCCAGCCAAAGCCAGGAGCCAGCAGCUUCAUCU